CCUACGGGUGACUGCAGUGAGGAAUAUUGGUCAAUGGUCGGGAGACUGAACCAGCCAAGCCGCGUGAGGGAUGAAGGUACAGAGUAUCGUAAACCUCUUUUGUCAGGGAACAAAGGCGGGGACGUGUCCCCGGAUGAGUGUACCUGAAGAAAAAGCAUCGGCUAACUCCGUGCCAGCAGCCGCGGUAAUCCGGAGGAGGCGAGCGUUAUCCGGAUUUAUGGGGUGUAAGGGGUGCGCAGGCGGUCUGUUAAGUCAGCGGUAAAAGCCCGGGGCUCAACCCCGGCCCGCCGUUGAAACUGGCAGUCUCGAGUUGGAGAGAAGUAUGCGGAAUGCGCGGUGUAGCGGUGAAAUGCAUAGAUAUCGCGCAGAACUCCGAUUGCGAAGGCAGCAUGCCGGCUCCACACUGACGCUGAGGCACGAAAGCGUGGGUAUCGAACAGGAUUAGAUACCCGGGUAGUC
rnacentral:rRNA from 1 species